rnacentral:rRNA from 1 species
UACAGAGGUCUCGAGCGUUAGGCGGAAUCACUGGGCUUAAAGCGUGUGUAGGCGGAUCGUUAAGUGCCUUGUGAAAUCCCACGGCUCAACCGUGGAACUGCUUGGCAUACUGGCGGUCUUGAGCAACCUAGGGGCGAGCGGAACAAAUGGUGGAGCGGUGAAAUGCGUAGAUAUCGAGAGGAACACCUGCGGCGAAGGCGGGUUGCUGGGCUGACACUGACGCUGAUGCGCGAAAGCCAGGGGAGCGAACGGG